GACGAACGCUGGCGGCGUGCUUAACACAUGCAAGUCGAACGGUGAGGGGCCCGGUUUUUGGUGGGUCUGGGUGAGUGGCGAAUGGGUGAGUCACACGUGAGUAACCCGCCCCCUUGUUAUGGCUAACCGCAUGAAAGUGUGGCUAAUACGGGAUAUUCUUCGCCUGCUGCAUGGUGGGGGUGGGUAAGAUAUUGGUGCGUUGGGGCAUGGGCUAGCGGCCUAUCUGUGUGUUGGUGGCGUUAUGGGCUGCGAAGGCGGUGACGGGUAGACGGCCUGAGAGGGUGGCCGGACACACAGGGACUGCGACACGACUGAGACUCCGAGAGGAGGCAGCAGUGGGGAAUAUGGCACAGUGGGGGCAAGCCUGAUGCAGCGGCGCGGCGUGAGGGAUGAAGCCCUGCGCGUUGUAAACCCCUUUCGCCAGUGAAGCAGGCCUGCCCCUUUUGCGGGUGGGUUGACGGUAGCUGGAUAAGAAGCGCCGGCUAACUACGUG
rnacentral:rRNA from 1 species